rnacentral:RNase_P_RNA from 1 species
CGUGAGGAGCUAACCUGCCGGACGAGGGCCACAGAAACAAACAGCCACCCUUACUCCGCAAGGGGUGAGGGGGUGAUGGUGAAAAGGUGGUGUAAAAGACCACCGGCAUCUGUAGUAAUACGGAUGGCCAGGUAACCCCCGCCGGGAGCAAGACCAAGCAGGGACGAAGCCAUCUGCGGAUGGUGGGAGGCGGCUCGCCUUCUUUAUGUGCCCUCUUAUGCGAUAAGAGGGUCAGUCCCGGGUAGGUUGCAUCGAGCGGUGCGGCGACGCGCCGCCCAGAGAGAUGAUCGCACAGGCGAGGCAACUCGCCGGACAGAAUGCGGCUUAUAGACCGGCCUGAGGU